GAUGAAGAACGUAGCGAAAUGCGAUAAGUAAUGUGAAUUGCAGAAUUCAGUGAAUCAUCGAAUCUUUGAACGCACAUUGCGCCCCUUGGUAUUCCGAGGGGCAUGCCUGUUCGAGCGUCAUUACACCACUCAAGCUAUGCUUGGUAUUGGGCGUCAUCCUUAGUUGGGCGCGCCUUAAAGACCUCGGCGAGGCCACUCCGGCUUUAGGCGUAGUAGAAUUUAUUCGAACGUCUGUCAAAGGAGAGGAACUCUGCCGACUGAAACCUUUAUUUUUCUAGGUUGACCUCGGAUCAGGUAGGGAUACCCGCUGAACUUAAGCAUAUCAAUAAGCGGAGGA
rnacentral:misc_RNA from 1 species